CUGUUUUAAAAUUUUUGAAAAUGUGAGAAAAUACUUUUCUUGACCUACAAGGAAAUCGAUUGUUUUGUUACUGUUUCGCUGCAGGAACCAAUUUCUCACUCUCUGGGCAAUUGCUGUGUCUUUUGAUUACUUAGCCACACCAUACAUACAACUUGUGCAUGUGCUGUGUGUUUGUUACCACGGAUUUCCUUUGUUGCUGACGUUGCCGGCCACCUAUUUCCUGUAGGUGCUGUGUGUACUACUACACAAUUCGCCAUCAUCAGUUGAUAGACGCUCGGGCGUGUCUACACCAUAAAUCUUUGCCGUGGGAUCUAUCCACCGCCGCUCACGAUUCCAUUUUUGCCCGUUUCCACCGAGCGACAAUCGCAUCAUCCGUCUUCGUCAACAAAGGGAAGACGUGGUGAAAGAAUAUAUCUAGGACCAGAUUCACGGAGAGCCUCCAGCAGCAGCCAAUAGGGAAAGACGGCGCGAAUAAGGAAACCAUGUACAGCAGAACUAAAUAACUUUCUAUGCGACGCCCAUAAGAUUCCCAGCAGCAGCAGCUGCCGGUAGGCACCGGACCAUGUAUUCCGGGGGCUCGACAUUUUCUUUUGCUGACGCACAGCAAACGAUGGCGUCAGCGACCGGGUGCUGUCCUGCUGGCAAUCGAGCCAUCAGUGUCGCUCUUUCCAUAUUUAAUUCAAUGAAUAGUCUAUGUGGAUAUAUAGAGGGGCGCAAGAAGUGUACUGUAUAGUGGAAGACUGGACUCACCUUCGACGGGUAAUCGAAUGCCGAGGGCCAGCACCAAUGAGCACGGCGCAAUUAAUAACCAGCAUCUUUUAUGAAUGGCUUACUGGCGGAUUCGCUUAUUGUGAUCGAUGGCGAUUGUCUUGUCGUAUCCAUCGGAUAAAAAUUUUUUAAAAAGAGAAAUUCAAUUUUGCGGCUCAAAAGUUUUUCCGCACCGGCACAGGAUUGAAUGGAUGAGAGCUGGCCAGUUGUGAUGCGCGAUGCUUCCCGAUCAAAGAAUCAACUGGAACUGGUUGACUACCGGCCAGUCGGUUCCAGUGUGUCUACACAGAGAAUCACAUCAAGAAUGCGUGUGUGUGUGUGUGUCUUCAAAGCGCAUCUGCCGGCGUCGAUCGACGGGACGCUACAACGAAUCCGGCAUCAGCCAUGCGCAGGCUCCGACAUACUCCACCGGGCCCCGCCAGCAGCAGGUACUAACAUAUCCAUCUAUCUAUCUAUGUGUGUGGUAGUAGUAGUAGCACGCAGCGAUAAAGAUACAUGCGAUUCGUAUCCGGUUGUACACGGCGAGGUACAGUAAAGAGCAGCUAGUGCUGCGUCUAUUUCUUAUCAACAAUCUGUAGACGCUCAUCAACCUUUGGCUCAGCUGGCGCUCCGCAUUCAUUAAAGGGACAUCUUUCGACGUUGACGUCAAAGACAUUAGACAUUUCAAUCUCGCUUUCUAGACUGUACUGCAGCAGCAGUAGCUGGAUGGAUGGUGGUUAUAAUUGCUCAUCCGAGCUAUGCUUUCUUCUGAUGCUGUUUCUCCUGUGCCGGGGACACACACAGUCUCUCUCUCAGCGCACAACUGAACGCUCCAGUGCAUCCAGCGUCGCGGCACCUUGGGAAAUCCGCCGGGGGGAAAUCCCCAGAAAUCCCCCUUUUUAUUUUUCAUUUGAUCAAACACAACAGAAGAGUUUGGGAUGUUCUUUCGAGAGAUUCAUUUCCAAAUUUCCUCGAAUUUAUUAAAAAAAGGCGUUGGGCACACACAUACAAGUUUGAUCUACACACACAAGGGAAACUUUCGACUGUAUGUCGGCAGAAUCCGCCAGCGAAUUCCCAUUCUAUGUAAUGCGACCCGCCUCGUGAUGAAAUUUAUCGAUUGUCUAUUCAAACUUUCGGAAUUUUUCAGCGGAAUUCAUUGUUAUACAACAACAUUGAUUCUAUAUCAUAUUUAAAAGGUCUUUUAAGCCAUUACAUGGGAAAAGGGUCGUGUUUUAUAAUUCUUAGUUUUAUUGCUGUAAAAAGAAAACAUGGCUAAAAAGCUUCGGGAAACAUGUAAUCAGUUUGCACAUAUAAUCUUUGUUAGCUAUUAGAGAGUAAAUUUACACACUGCUGUAUACAGCCCGGCACGGGAAUAACGCAAAGAAGGUAUAAAACAUAUACAGCCUAGUACUUAUCUAAACUUGUUGAAUAGUUCAAACUUUUAUUUUAUUUUUACUAUACUUUCCCUUUUUUUGAUCGGGAAUGUUUCACGACCGCGUCGAGCGUGCGGGAUACCAUCAAGUAAAGGAAACAAACGCACAAGGUCCGCGCGUUUGCCUCAAAGUUGUUACUGCUGCGCCGCCCGCUGAGCUGUUAACGUCGUUUGUUUGUACAUCAGUUCCGGCCGUCGUCGUACCCAAAAGAGAGAGAUAUUUCUACGGACACGGAAAUACUUUCCCUUUUGUGUCCCGUACUAUAUUUUCUCGGUUUGUACACUUCAAGGUCCGCGUUUUAUCCUGGGCCCGUUUAUUGCUCCAUUUCGUGAAGGAAGGAGAAAAAUAGACGACCCGCUUAUUUCUACUAGCUGGAGACGGGCAGAUUGCUCAACGGCACGUCAUGUUGCGUGGCCUAGUUAUUCGGCUAUAGUAAAAACACGUGGGUUUGUAUAUCAAACUUAAAAAUUGAAAAAGAAAUAUGAAAAUCAAUUCAAAUAACUCCCCGGCAACUUAAUUGAUUUCUUCGUUCUCCAACUUGUUUCAAAAGUUUUGGCCAGUUUCCAGGGAAAUGUUUCAAUUGGUUUUUGUGUCUCGAUCGAAUAAAUGUUUUUAGCCACCCUUUCAUAUAGCCAGUGACGUCGUCAGCAGCGCCACAGCACAAGGAUCAACUUUAUUUUAUUUCCGGAGAGAGAUAGAAAAUGGAGGAAUUCCGGCGACACCCCCCAAGAGGUCCGUCAUCCGCAUAUAUAGAUUUAUUCUUUCCUAGUUAAUAAGAGCUGAGAUGCUGGUGUUGCUGAUACCAUAACCCGAUCCUCAUACAGCACCGUCGCACGUAUUGCCUCUGCUGUUGUAUACGCUGUGCAUGCUGCUGGAUUGGACAGAUUUGUGGGGUGUAUAAUAGGAUUUCCUUCGUUACAUUUAUAGAAACUGCGACGCAUUCAGCAUAUAGGACUUUUUUUUAUUAUUAUACCCCCCACCACUCCUGCGUGUGCGGCUGUUAAACUCGAAUCAAUAUCCUAGAAGAGUUCAUUAUAUUAUUCAAUUUGAA